CAGAUGGCCAGUGGUAAGAAGGUUGAUUAAUUUCAAACUUCUUUAGCAUUUCAGACCCAGCAACAUAUCUAGGAAGAAGCUGGAGAAAAGUCACCAUGAUGAAAUAAGUAAGGAGCCCAGUUUAUGUCAACAGUUGUCUUACUCAUGUGCCAGAGUUAAGACAGUGAACACCAGGCAAGACUAUCCACAGGACAAAUGGUGGCAGAAUUAACUGGGAGCAGGAAAAUGGGUGCAGAGAUCUAUUGAUCCAGAGAGCCUGUGGGAAAGUAGGCUGAAAACCUGCAUCUUGCAACCCUUAUCUGUUCAGCCCUAUUGCUACAAAAGGCUUAAACUACUGCUACCAUACUUGCCUACAUUCUUUGCUUCCUUCCAGAAGUUAUCCAGAUUUUUGAGGCCCAAAGCUGCAUGCCAUACUUAAAAUUUGCAAAAACUUCAUGUUAAUAAAAUAACCCAUUCGCUCC